UCUUCCUCUUUGCCAAUUCUAAAUGCAAGAGGUACUUCCACAACAGGCUGAAGCCCUCAAAGCUAACCUGGACAGCUAUGUACAGGAAGCAGCAUAAAAAGGUGACUUUUUUUGUUAGUUUCUAUCUACUUUUUAAUGACGAAUGCAUAAUGCUUCUAUUUGCAAGACUGCUUCUUCAGAUAGAAAAUCAUGAUGCGGUAUAUGUUGGUUUUGACACUGCUUUCCUAAUAAUCACAGGACAUUGCUGCAGAAACUAUUAAGAAGAGGCGUCGCGCCACGAAAAAACCUUACUCAAGGUCCAUUGUAGGGGCUACUUUGGAGGUCAUACAGAAGAAGCGAACUGAGAAACCUGAAGUUCGUGAUGCUGCAAGGGAGGCUGCACUCCGGUAUGUAAUUCUUUGUUGGUUUUUCCAAUGUGCUUCGAUCGUUGAGUCACUGGUGACACUUGUUGAUAUACUUGUUUGUUCAAUGCAUGAUGUUUUGUGCAGUGAAAUUAAGGAGAGGAUUAAGAAAACAAAGGAUGAGAAGAGAGCCAAGAAGGCUGAGGUAACAGCCAAGGUACAAAAGAGCAGCAAAGGUAGCGUGCCAAAGGGUGCUGCACCAAAGGGCCCCAAGCUUGGCGGGGGUGGAGGAAAGCGGUGAAAUCCUUCCUUCUUUGUUGUCCUAUUAACUCGUUAAAGAAUUUUGUAUUGGAUAUUUUACAUGGAUCAAGGUCUGUUGUUGCCAUUUUGUUCUUUAAGAGUUAACCUACUCUUUUCUCUUUCAGCGUUAAUUAUCCAUGGUUUGAAAGUUGUUGAAUUUUAUUAUUAUGGAUUGCACGCACUGCCAAUGCUGGGGAUUGUUGUGUGUUCAUAGGUUCUUUUGCCGAACUGCAGCUCCUAUAUCAUGAUAAGAAUCGAAAACAUCGCUUCAUUGGUUUCCGUUUUGAUAAGUUCCUAUAGUAUGCAUGUUGGUCCUGCUAGGAUUAAACUGAACACCCAUCUUUGCAAGGCAUGUGGCCUUCGAUUGAUGAUUCUUGACUAUUAAGAGAUAGUCUUUGCCUUGACUGAUACGGCACUGAAAUCUGAAUUUGCUGCCUGGGAAACAUUGUAAAAUGCUUGAAGAUUCGAUUUUUGUCAUGUCUUCAGGCGUCAGCUGUCAAGCAACGUUUAUUACUUUUAUUUGAAUGUGUUAAAAUAAUAUAUAUAUAUAUAUAUAUAUAUAUAUAUAUAUAUAUAUAUAUAUAUAUAUUAAUAUUAAUAUAUUAAAAUUAUUAAAAAAUAAUCAAUUUUAUAUUUUGAUAAAAUGUAUUUUGAAAACACAUCUAAAAACAAAAGUUAAAGUUAAUGGGUUUUACUCGGUGUUGGUGGCCUGAAUAAAACUAGGAACUAUGUUAUAAAAAAAAAUUAUGAAUUUUGGAAUUGAAGUUUCAGAAACAAUAAAUAUGGCAAUAAAAAAAAUAGUUGUGAAGUUUGAUGAAUGAUGCACCUGAGAUUUAAGAAGAUGUUCUUUUAUAUAUAUAUAAAAAAAGUAAAAAUCUUGGGAGCAUAGAACCAUGAAUAUUUAGAGAGAGAGAGAGAGAGAGAGAGAAGUGAAGAAGAAACAAACAAAAAGAUGUACUGAUUCUUUAGAAAAGCGUGGCUGCCAAAUGUGAUGAUUCUUUUUUAUUUUAAAUCCUACUUUUUACUUUUAUUUUUAAAGGUGAAUAAAAAGAAUAUAGACAAAUAUAUCAACAUACAUACAAAAAAAAAAAAAAAAAACAUAUAUUUUUACUAGUUACUUGCUGUGUUGGUACUUGCACUCUACGCAAGCCCCUAGUUAAAUGGCCUCGUUUGGGUCUUGUUGGUUUGUCCAGUAAUAAUGUUAUAAAAAUCCAAUUAUUCUGGCAAUAAAACAUGAUAGCUUAUACUUGAUCUUGGUUCGUUAAAACUGCUAUUGGUUGGUUAAAACUGCUAGUAGCUAUUACUUGUAAAAUAUAUUUUUUUUUUAUAGAAGUGAGGACUCUAUAAUACUUAAAUAGAUAUCUUUUUAGAAAGAAAAAAUACAAGAAUAUUAUAUAGAAAGAUACUCUGAAAAUAUAAAUAUAGUCAAAAAUUGAAAAUUAUGAACCUUUUGUCAUGAAACUCUCAUGGUGUAUUUAUAAGCCAUAAAAAAAAGGGCUUGCAGCCUGAUAGUAUUGAAUGAUAGAUAAAUAUUCUUUACCUAAUAAGAAUAUUGUGGGUCAUUGAAGGAUUUUUAUACACCUAAAAAAGUGUAGGGAGAUUAGAGUUUAAGACGUCAAGUGUAGCUAAGCUUAUAGAGACUGAGUUCUAUCCCUUGGGGAUAGACCCAAGGGAGGUUGGUUACUCUCCUGGACAUGUCAAAGGAGGACGAUCAUUCCCCUACAUAUGCCAAAGAAGGAUGAUUAUUAUCUUGGACCUGACUGACUGCUAAGUUCAAGCGUAUUAGGUCUGACAUGCGUGCCAGACUCAUGUUAUAUUAGACUUUGUGCAUUGUCAAGUCCAAGCGCUUUGAGUCUGAUAUGUACGCAAAAUUCAUAUGUUUUAAAGAACCACAUAAAAAUAAAUAAAUAAAAACUUAAUAAAAUUGACUCAUCACCUAGGCAUGCACAUUUUGACAAUGCUAGUUUCACUUUACAUUGUUAUGUAGGCUUUCUAUAAAAUCAGGCCAUAUUCUUCUCGUAAGCUUGUCAAUUUCACAAGAUACGACCACCGUGUUAGAUAAUAAUAUAAAUUAUAUCUUGGAAUCUCACUUAAAAGCUUAAGUUAUUGGAUUUGAUUAAUUCUUUUGACAUGAUAUCAGAGUCUUGUUGACCAAAUAAUCACGAGUUCGAAUCUGAUUACCAUCCUCAUUUAUUUGAUAAAAAUCAAGCACAAGGUAGCAUGGACCUGUGCAAGUUUCAAGUUUAAAGAGCUUUCACUUGAAGGGAGGUGUUAAAGAAUAAUAUAAAUUAUAUCUUGGAACCUCAUCUAAAAAUUUAAACUUUUAAAUUGAGAUGCUUCUUUUGAUACACCAAUUUUAAACAAAGGAGAUAGGAAUCCUACUUUUGAUCCCUGCAAGCUUCCACACUUUGUUCUUCCUUUUCUUUCCCUUCUUAUUUUUAUUCCUUUUCCUCCUCCUCAAUUCAACUGCUGAAGGAACCAUUAAAGGCAGAAUUCUUGAUUCUCCAGCUCAAAAGUAAAGGGAAAAAAUAAAAAGAAAGAAAGAAAGAAAGGGUUAGCAGCAUUGAUAGAUCAUUCCAAAAUGAUCAUCAACUGGUUGGCACGACUUCCCUGGCUAAUUUUUUUUUUUUUUUGAUUUACAUGGGGUGUCCGGGCCAGCUUACGCGCACCACGACUAUUCCCCACGGCCCGCUGGACAUCCUGCAAGCCCAGGAGCAGAGUUUGCUUAGCUAGGUUGUGAGUAUUCUAUUCCAUCUCUACCAUAUCAGUUUAGCAGAGUUUGCUUGCUGCAAGCCACAAUAUGAAAAAGAAAGAAGAAUAUCUUUAUAAUUUAAUAGAUUUUCUUCGUCAUAAAUGAGGUCAAGACUCAAAGCAACUUAAAUUUCAUGCAUCUCAUGCGAUGUAAAACAAUUUCAAUUACAUCAGAAAGUAAUAAGUUAAAAAAUAUUUUCAAAUGAGUUAUCAAGAACAUGAAGGUCCAGGUGAAAAACAUGUCCAAUAUCAGUCAACAAAUCGUUUUUUUCCCCUCAUACUUUGAUAGCUAAAACUUGAAAAAAAAGGGUGAAAACUUCUUACCAUCUCAUCAUUACUUGCAUUAGCUGCAAGCAAUGAAGCAUUGGCCCAUUUACAAGUGAUUGGGGCUCAUGCCUUUCGAAGUCGAAAUCACCCAAAAGAAAUGGCUCAAACAGUUGGAUUUCUCAAAGGAAGGGGUAUUUUGUUAAUCGGAAACGAAGCCUUUCGAAAUCUCAAGUUUGAUUUUGAAUGGUCAUUUUCAAUCCUUUUCUUCCAAUUCCAAGAAAAGCGAAAUCCUGAAAAAGUUUAUGAUGUUUAACCUUCUCGAUCGGUUCACGAACGUGUAGAGGAGAGGGCCAGUACACGGCUGGGGAUUUGCUGCAUUCCACCAUAACUUCACGAGCAAAUGAAUUGGUUUUGUCGUCGAGAGCUGCACCUGCGCACUCGAUGCUUUUCUCCUGGAGAUGAAGACCGCGCGCACUCCCUAUUGCCGAAGAGUCCCAAGAGCGUACCAUAAAGAUCUAGUUUCUUGUUUUGUUCCUUCUCUUAAGAAAUAUAUUGAGCGUCUCCCUCCACUUGCUUGCUACUCUUGUAACAAAGAUCGUAGCUAGCUAGGGCUUAUCAUUACCUCAAAACAUGUAGCUCGUCUGUAUAUAUACACCAACCUAUUCAAUUCUUGAGCCAACUCCCCACUUUGUGAGCGAGCUUAGAAAGCAUACUGGGGUAGGGCGCGAUUUCUAUCUCUUACUUUCAUAAAGAAGACAGCUUUCGCGGUAGGAUGUAAAUAUUACUUUUUAAAGUUUUUUUUUAUUAUUAUUUAAAAUUGUAUUAAAAUAAUAUAUUAUUUUAUUUUUUAAAAUUUAUUUUUAAUGUAGUACAUCCAAAUAAUCUGAAAACUAAAAAAAUAUUAUUUAAAAAAAAUUUAAAAUUUUUUAAAAAUAAUUUUUUAAAACAAAAACAAACAUACUCUUAAUAUAAUUGUAAAACCUGACUUGAGAGUCGAUUUAGAACAAUACCUAAAUUACAGAUCGGGAGAAUUGAUCUCAUAAAAUUUUAAAAAUAAUUAAAAUAACACUAUUUUAAUUAAAAAAAUUUAAUAAUUUAAGAAUUGGGUUUUAAUCGAGUUAACAAAUAAACCUCGAUCUUUUAUCGGAUUAGCUGAAAUUUUUUUUUUUCUUUAAUUUGAACAAGUUCAAAUUACUCUAGUUUUAGGUGGAUCUGCUGUUCCAGUUCUGUUUUUACAGCUAUGCUCCUGAAUAAUAAUAAUAAUAAAUGAAUAAAAAAGUAGACUUAUUUAUGGAUGAAUUUGUGAAAUAUCAAAUUAGAGGGGGGCAAUUAAAUCUCAAGCCUAUGAACAAUGUAAAUUACAAUGGCCCACGAACAUAAGAACCAGGCCCUCAAAGUUGCAGUCUGGCCUUUUAUUGGCCCAUUAGGAAAAAAAAUAUAUCUUCAAAAACUACACCCUAGUCUAGUCUUCCUUCUUCCCUGCCAAAAAAAUCAGUAGCUGCUGCCGCCAUGGUUCUCAAGUACGUCCCUUUCUCUCCAUUGUUCUUCCAUUUAGCAUCAAUGGAAAAUGAGUUUUUAUUUUUCUGCAUUUUUCUUUUUAUGGGUUUUUUUCUUUUCAAGUGUUUAAGUGUCCUGAAUUGUUGGAUUGAAUUUGAGCCAUCUUGGUUUUGCUUACAAAUAUAUGACAUUUUGAACUUGUGAGCUACAAAUUUAGCAUUAGAGCCACUAUUUUAUGUUAUAGUACAAGGAAAAGGAGGCGAGCUUGAUUAAUUUUAUGAAACUUCAAAAAUGCAGUCUCUAUGAAAGUUUUAAGCUUUUUGGUGAUGGGUAGAGUAUACAUUUUUGAAGAGUAGAAGGAUUUCUGGCAUGGAUUUCAAGUGAAUGUUUUUAUUGUUUAUAUGUUAGUAAGGUAGUUGGAAAUACUGAUAUGACAUUAUGAGUUGAAUUGCCAUAUAAUUGUGAUCAAUAGAAACCAGACUAAGACUAAGAUGUUUGUUAUGUAGCCCGAGUGUUCAGCUCCUUGGAACAGCAUCGAGUUAGGAUUUAUGUUUGAGUGUCUUGAGCGUGAUUAGUGUAUGGCAGGAAGGGAAUUCAGCAAUAACAUAGAGAAGGCGGCAAGAAAAUGGCCAAAAUCUGAAUAAAAUUGAAGUUGGGAUGAGAGAUUAAGGUUUAGUGAUGCACGAUGCACUUGAAAGGGUCUUCUAGUUGGAAUGUUAUACUUGGGUUUCUUAUUGUUUGAUUUUAAGAAUGUGCAACACCUUGAUGUUACCAAGAAUAUAUGACUUGUUAGUCAUUGAACUGGCAGUCAAGAGUAAUAGGUAGUUUUUGGGGAUAUGCAGAGGGGUUUGAGGAUUUGAUGGAUUUCUGAGAUUUGCAUAAUCAUGCAAAUGAAGUCAUUGAUGUUUUAGAUAUGCAAUCAUGAUAAAUAUUAAGCAUGCGUUCUCUGGAAUGGAGCACUUUUAUUGACCUGACAAUAGAUUUUCUUUGUAAUAAUACUGAUGGUUUCUUCCCGGAUGACCAGGACUGAACUCUGCCGCUUCAGUGGGGCGAAGAUCUAUCCUGGCAAGGGUAUCAGAUUUAUUCGCUCAGAUUCCCAGGUAAGAUGCAGUUUGGUAUUGAAGGCAUCGCAUCUUCUUUCUAUUUUCCAUCACCUUCCAGUACAGGCUGUGAAACUAAGUACUCUUUCUUUAAUCAAUUAAGGUCUUCCUCUUUGCCAAUUCUAAAUGCAAGAGGUACUUCCACAACAGGCUGAAGCCCUCAAAGCUAACCUGGACAGCUAUGUACAGGAAGCAGCAUAAAAAGGUGACCUUUUUUGUUAGUUUCUAUCAACUUUUUAAUGACGAAUGCAUAAUGCUUCUAUUUGCAAGACUGCUUUCUUCAGAUAGAAAAUCAUGAUGCGGUAUAUGUUGGUUUUGACACUGCUUUCCUAAUAAUCACAGGACAUUGCUGCAGAAACUAUUAAGAAGAGGCGUCGCGCCACGAAAAAACCUUACUCAAGGUCCAUUGUAGGUGCUACUUUGGAGGUCAUACAGAAGAAGCGAACUGAGAAACCUGAAGUUCGUGAUGCUGCAAGGGAGGCUGCACUCCGGUAUGUAAUUCUUUGUUGGUUUUUCCAAUGUGCUUCGAUCGUUGAGUCACUGGUGACACUUGUUGAUAUACUUGUUUGUUCAAUGC
rnacentral:lncRNA from 1 species